rnacentral:rRNA from 1 species
AGAGUUUGAUCCUGGCUCAGGAUGAACGCUGGCGGCGUGCCUAAUACAUGCAAGUCGAGCGAACGGACGAGAAGCUUGCUUCUCUGAUGUUAGCGGCGGACGGGUGAGUAACACGUGGAUAACCUACCUAUAAGACUGGGAUAACUUCGGGAAACCGGAGCUAAUACCGGAUAAUAUUUUGAACCGCAUGGUUCAAAAGUGAAAGACGGUCUUGCUGUCACUUAUAGAUGGAUCCGCGCUGCAUUAGCUAGUUGGUAAGGUAACGGCUUACCAAGGCAACGAUGCAUAGCCGACCUGAGAGGGUGAUCGGCCACACUGGAACUGAGACACGGUCCAGACUCCUACGGGAGGCAGCAGUAGGGAAUCUUCCGCAAUGGGCGAAAGCCUGACGGAGCAACGCCGCGUGAGUGAUGAAGGUCUUCGGAUCGUAAAACUCUGUUAUUAGGGAAGAACAUAUGUGUAAGUAACUGUGCACAUCUUGACGGUACCUAAUCAGAAAGCCACGGCUAACUACGUGCCAGCAGCCGCGGUAAUACGUAGGUGGCAAGCGUUAUCCGGAAUUAUUGGGCGUAAAGCGCGCGUAGGCGGUUUUUUAAGUCUGAUGUGAAAGCCCACGGCUCAACCGUGGAGGGUCAUUGGAAACUGGAAAACUUGAGUGCAGAAGAGGAAAGUGGAAUUCCAUGUGUAGCGGUGAAAUGCGCAGAGAUAUGGAGGAACACCAGUGGCGAAGGCGACUUUCUGGUCUGUAACUGACGCUGAUGUGCGAAAGCGUGGGGAUCAAACAGGAUUAGAUACCCUGGUAGUCCACGCCGUAAACGAUGAGUGCUAAGUGUUAGGGGGUUUCCGCCCCUUAGUGCUGCAGCUAACGCAUUAAGCACUCCGCCUGGGGAGUACGACCGCAAGGUUGAAACUCAAAGGAAUUGACGGGGACCCGCACAAGCGGUGGAGCAUGUGGUUUAAUUCGAAGCAACGCGAAGAACCUUACCAAAUCUUGACAUCCUUUGACAACUCUAGAGAUAGAGCCUUCCCCUUCGGGGGACAAAGUGACAGGUGGUGCAUGGUUGUCGUCAGCUCGUGUCGUGAGAUGUUGGGUUAAGUCCCGCAACGAGCGCAACCCUUAAGCUUAGUUGCCAUCAUUAAGUUGGGCACUCUAAGUUGACUGCCGGUGACAAACUGGAGGAAGGUGGGGAUGACGUCAAAUCAUCAUGCCCCUUAUGAUUUGGGCUACACACGUGCUACAAUGGACAAUACAAAGGGCAGCGAAACCGCGAGGUCAAGCAAAUCCCAUAAAGUUGUUCUCAGUUCGGAUUGUAGUCUGCAACUCGACUACAUGAAGCUGGAAUCGCUAGUAAUCGUAGAUCAGCAUGCUACGGUGAAUACGUUCCCGGGUCUUGUACACACCGCCCGUCACACCACGAGAGUUUGUAACACCCGAAGCCGGUGGAGUAACCUUUUAGGAGCUAGCCGUCGAAGGUGGGACAAAUGAUUGGGGUGAAGUCGUAACAAGGUAGCCGUAUCGGAAGGUGCGGCUGGAUCACCU